AAAUUGGCUGUGAAGAGAAGAGUACGCACCGUCUGCGCCUGACAGAAAGCCCGAAGGAUGGAACCGGGCAGGCCGCGCGGUGCCGAAGAUGGUCUUGGAGCCGCGCAGGUGAACAAUGAGUCUGCGACGGGGUGCGCCCGUUACCGCGCAAAGGCCGGUUUUUGUCGGCUAAAGGCUGCGUCCGCAAGGGCGCAGCGAAGCAAGGUGGUACCACGAAGGUUCAGCGCUCUCGUCCUUGUC
rnacentral:ncRNA from 1 species